GUCGAGAAUAAUUCACAAUGGACGAAAGUCUGAUGGUGCAACGCCGCGUGGAGGAUGACGGUCUUCGGAUUGUAAACUCCUGUCAUCCGGGAGUAAGACCUGGCUGUGAAUAGCAGACAGGGUUGAUAGUACCGGAAGAGGAAGGGACGGCUAACUUCGUGCCAGCAGCCGCGGUAAUACGAAGGUCCCGAGCGUUGUUCGGAAUCACUGGGCGUAAAGGGAGCGUAGGCGGCGUGGUAAGUCAGAUGUGAAAUCCCGGGGCUCAACCCCGGAACUGCAUCCGAUACUGCCGUGCUAGAGGAUUGGAGAGGUAGCUGGAAUUCUUGGUGUAGCAGUGAAAUGCGUGGAGAUCAAGAGGAACACUCGUGGCGAAAGCGAGCUACUGGACAAUAUCUGACGCUGAGGCUCGAAGGCCAGGGUAGCGAAAGGGAUUAGAAACCCUUGUAGCC
rnacentral:rRNA from 1 species